CCACCUGGAACAUGUUGUGCUGCCAUUUCGUUCACUUUCUUUCCAUGGAGGGGGAAGCUGUGCAAAGCCUGUUGAAGGAUAUAUGCAUUCCAGAGCUUUAGAGAUUCAAAGAACCGGAGGCUGGAGCCUACCUCUCCUGCUGACUGUGAAUGAAGACUGCAGUAUACUCCGGUACAAGUCCAUCCGCUCUUGAACUUCAUAAAUACCUUUUAAAAGGUCUAAUAGUGUUCUUCCUUUGAAGUUUCUAACACCAUUUUUGAAGGCUUGAAAGCGGUAUUAUUCAUGUGUUUCAGUUGAAGAGAGCUGAAUUAUCAAGGUAACAACCAAUUUAAGAAUGGCCAGUUUUCUCCGAGAGAUGUGCUCAUGGAGGGACCUGGGGGAAGAUCCAGUGCUUACCAGGGAUUUCACUGGGCUCAACAAGCCCUGAAAUGUAGGAAGGAGAAGAAACCUGCACAAAUGAAGAGGUGCCCAGCAGACCAUGCUAUCUCAUUGGAGAACCUAGUGGUAAAAAUUCUUCAUAAAAUGAUAGGUGUCUGCUGCUAUGGGAUUAUUUUUAUUAGUAAAAGAUUAGAUGGAGUAAGGCCAGUAAACAGGGAUUCUGUAGAUGACAAGUGUUUCACUUGCCUGUUUGGCAUUGUCUUAAUUGUUACAACAAACAGCAUAAGAUGACGAAAAAUGACCACUUUUCUACUCAGAAGAUAAACUGCCUUUAAAAAGAAAGGAAUGAAACCCAGCUUUAUGAUUUCUAGGAUCCCAGUUAAUUAAAAUGGACAUGACUGGAGAAGCAUAAGCACCUGAGCAGCUUUCAAGACAUUUCUCUGGCAUGUUCUUACUGACUCUGAGCCCUUAUUUCCAACCACAGUGUCUGCUCAUCCUAUUUCAGCACCAUUCAAACCAGCCUCCCCCAAAGGAUCCAGCAAACGUGGUCUGAGAAAAGAGCUGAGCACAAGCUGAGCUGUGAAGAAGAUGAAGAGUUCUGAUGGGAGUUCAUUUGAAAAGAUAUCAUGGCUACAGUGAGUUUAGAUCACAAUUUGCGUUAUUCCUGAAGCUCUGCGUGUAUGUUUCAGUUGCCUUCAUGAAAAGCCGUGUUUUUUGUGAGAAUAAACACAACCUUAAAGUAGUAUUUGUUAGAUAAGACUCACAACA